rnacentral:rRNA from 1 species
UACGAAGGGGGCUAGCGUUGUUCGGAUUUACUGGGCGUAAAGCGCACGUAGGCGGAUCGAUCAGUCAGGGGUGAAAUCCCAGAGCUCAACUCUGGAACUGCCUUUGAUACUGUCGAUCUGGAGUUCGGGAGAGGUGAGUGGAACUGCGAGUGUAGAGGUGAAAUUCGUAGAUAUUCGCAAGAACACCAGUGGCGAAGGCGGCUCACUGGCCCGAUACUGACGCUGAGGCACGAAAGCGUGGGGAGCAAACAGG